GUCACAACUCAUAUCUUGCUCUUUAACAUCUAUCAUAUAAGAAAAGUCACUCUACUUUUUCCACAACAAGCCAUGUCUAGCCUAACAUUCCACCAUUUUGUUUUGAAACAUUUCAUUUUUUUAUUUUUCCUCUCUUUCUCUCUCUUCCAUCUAUUACCAUAUUCUUAUUCUAAUUGUUUCCAAUUUCACUACAGUUACAAAUUAACAAUCUCACUUCCUCUUAUUCUUCUUCUUCCUUCUUCUUUUUUUCUUUGUGUUUUAUAUUCUUCUUCGUAAUGGUUAUCGUUGACGGUGUUUUAUUUUUCUUAUUUAUUCAGCAUCACUAACAUCGUUAUUAUGGUUUUUGUUUCAGAUAGGUUUCGAAACAAUUAUUUGAGCAUAAGGAAUCGAGAGUAAUUGUGAGAAUGAGUUUUAGCGGGAAUGAAGGCAUUUCACAGGCACACAAGAUAUUGUUCUUUUUAAAUAGUUUUAAUGUUGAAACAAACUGUUGAAUUAUGAAGUUUAAAGAAUAAGGAUUCAUGAAAAUUGUGGUUUACUGAUCCAAAUCAAAGGGCAUGGAAGUGAAAAGAUGCAUAUGAAAGUUUACAGGCAAAACAUUCAAGAAUUAAGAAGGAGAGGGACUGUAUUUACUCUUCAACUGAGUCUUUCUAAUGCCGCCAUUACUGCAGCAACCUAUUUUCCAAUGCUACUCAUUAUUUUUCUAAAUAUCUAUAUCUAUGCAGUCUUUUCAAUGCAACAUUUUUGAAUUUUUAUUUUUAUUUUAUAUUUUGAAAAAUAUGUAUCACUCAUAUAUGGAAUAUUAAUCUUCUAUUUUUGUUUGUAAAAUAUAAUAUAAUUAUCAGACCUAUCUUGUAGUAUUUAGAGUUUGAUGUGAUAUCUUACUUUUUCUAAAAGCUAGAUUUUGUGAGAUAUUGGACAAAAAAACUGUUCUAAAACCCAUAUCUCACACUGUUCCAAGAAUAAAAAUAGAUGAGAUGGGACAUUACAA